rnacentral:piRNA from 1 species
UUACAUAGGAUUAAAUGGUUCCACGUAUU